rnacentral:rRNA from 1 species
AUACCCUAUUAUUUUUAAUGUAAAAAAUUGAAGGCUUGAGUAGUAAUAGUUAAAUCUUUAAACUUAAAGAAUUUGGCGGUAUUAUAAUCUUUUUAGAGGAAUCUGUUAUGUAAUCGAUAGUCCCCGUUGAACCUUACUUAUAUUAAUUUUCUUGUAUAUCGCUGUUUGAAGGAAAUAUUUUUAGGUUAGAAAUUUUCUUGAUAAAUUAAUAAUUUAAAUUUCAAGUCAAGGUGCAGUUAUGAAUAAGUUGAAUAAUGGAUUACAAUAAAUUUUAUUUAAUAAAACGGAUUGAUUAUUAGGAUGGAAUAAUAUGAAGGUGGAUUUAAUUGUAAUUUUAUGAAGAUUGUUAAAAUGAAAAUAGCACUAUAAUAUGUACACAUCGC